GCGGACAGGAUGUCCGCCUGUAUAAGCUGUACGAGUUUUUUGCGUAAGCAAAAACACUCGAAGAUGAAAAAUGUACUUUGGAUGUACAUUUUUCAUCGGUC
rfam:Treponema denticola ATCC 35405, complete genome.